rnacentral:rRNA from 1 species
AUGUCAAAUGCAAUUUCCCAUCAAGAAAAAGCUAUUGAAGCAUGCAGCACGGCAGUGUGCUGGAAAACAAUUCGCACGUACAGUAUAUAUGUGUACAUCACAUUACAAGCUGGAGUAUAUCAGCAAUAUGUUACAUUAAUUUACACUAGCAUACCUGAGAGAAAAUCAUUGUGGAGGCACACUAGACCUAGCUACAAAGAACAAAUGAAACAAUCUAGUAUACGACUGGUCAACCAGUCGGUUUCUCGGAACCUAAACGAGCUAGCACAAGAGAAGAAGAACAAAAAGAUCGAUCGGCAUCAGAGAAGAGCAGCGCAGAGGAGCAGGCGGCUGGAUCGUCAGCUCUUGAUGUCGUUGGUUCGUUUGCUGGGGCCCGACGGCGGCGCUCGCGACCCGGGUUUCAUGCCGAGCAGCGCCUCGACCCGCUUCCCGACCGGCACGACCUCCUCCGCGUCCCUCGACAAGGCCGCGGCGGGGAGAGCGAUCGUCCGCACGGCCGCCGCGGGCCCAGCACCAGCACCGCCGGCGGCUGGUUGCCGCAGGGGCCUGGUGGCGCCGGAGCGCCGCGUGAAGACGGUCAGGAGGAGAAGCACGAGGAGGCAGAGGAAACGUGGAGCGCGGCUGUUGUUGUUGAGCGUCAUCGCGUGCGCCAUUGAUCUUGUGCAGCGAGAAGGGGAGGACUUGUUUUGA